GUGCAGCAGUCGAGAAUAGUCUACAAUGGACGAAAGUCUGAUAGUGCGACGCCGUGUGUGCGAUUAAUUCCUUCGGGAUGUAAAGCACUUUUCUAUGAGAUAAAAGCUCUUUAGGUUAAUAGCUUAUUGAGACGGAUAUUAUUAUAGGAAUAAGCUCCGGCUAACUCCGUGCCAGCAGCCGCGGUAAUACGGAAGGAGCGAGCGUUGUCCGGAUUUACUAGGCGUAAAGGGCUAGUAGGCGACUAAUUAAGUUAUAUGUUAAAUCCCACGGCUCAACUGUGGUCCUGCAUGUAAUACUGGUUAGAUAGAGUACUGUAGAGGAAGGCAGAAUUCCUGGAGUAGCGGUGGAAUGCGCAGAUAUCAGGAAGAAUACCAAAAAGACGAAGGCAGCCUUCUGGGCAGUUACUGACGCUGAAUAGCGAAGGUGUGGGUAGCGAACAGGGAUUAGAUACCCCUGUAGU
rnacentral:rRNA from 1 species